GUGACAUUGAUUUGCCCUAAAAUCUUCUCCCUUCAACCUGAUCCUCCAAUUUGACACAUGGUGGUUUCUAUCCGGGCUAAAUUCUGUCCGCAGACUGGCCACAUAGGCACAAGACAGGGGGGCGGGGCCCAGCCAGUGAGAGAGGGCAGAAGAUCACUGCCUCUGACAGAUGGUCUGGGUGACAAGGAAGCUUCAGGAAGCCAUGGAUCAUAUUCCACUGAGGGUCGAUUCCUAAAGAAAGAAGCACACAGCAAUAACAAGCUCAGUACCUUGGAUACGGACACAUCAGCCCAGGGAUUCAUCCAUCGAACAUCACUUCCUGGAUACCAUGUGCUCAGGGAGGAGACAAAAGACUGAGAAAUGGUGAACUCAAUCCACCUUAGGAUUCUUUUAACCUUGAUGUACAUCGACUAUGUAUGAUUGAGAUGCCCAUCUCACUGUAUCAAUCACUGUACUGUUAUCCACAUUUAUUCUGGUUUAAGUGCUAUGUUGACAGUAACAGCAGAUGAGAUUUACUUUCAU